AGUCAAUAGAUACCCAGGUAGUCCACGCCGUAAACGAUGAGUACUAGGUGUAGGAGGUAUCGACUCCUUCUGUGCCGCAGUUAACACAAUAAGUACUCCGCCUGGGAAGUACGGUCGCAAGAUUAAAACUCAAAGGAAUUGACGGGGGCCCGCACAAGCAGCGGAGCAUGUGGUUUAAUUCGAAGCAACGCGAAGAACCUUACCUAGACUUGACAUCUCCUGAAUAGCGCAGAGAUGCGUGAAGCCCUUCGGGGCAGGAAGACAGGUGGUGCAUGGUUGUCGUCAGCUCGUGUCGUGAGAUGUUGGGUUAAAGUCCCGCAACGAGCGCAACCCCUAUUAUUAGUUGCUACCAUUAAGUUGAGCACUCUAAUGAGACUGCCCGGGUUAACCGGGAGGAAGGCGGGGAUGACGUCAAAUCAUCAUGCCCCUUAUGUCUAGGGCUACACACGUGCUACAAUGGUGAGAACAACGAGAUGCAAUACCGCGAGGUGGAGCAAAACUUGAAAGCUCAUCUCAGUUCGGAUU
rnacentral:rRNA from 1 species